CCAAUGAAACAGGCAGCAAGGCUGAGCUGAAUGGAGAGCUGAGAUUUGGUGACAAUGCAAGCUGCUCUCCACCAGGUGCUGUGAGGGUUUCAGAAGGGAAACCAGCCAUUCCUGCACACUGGGCUUUGAAGGUGAGCUGCUUUGUAAAAGCUCCCUGCAGUGCUAUGUUGCUGAAGCCAACAGUUUGAAAAUUUACAGCAAGAGAAAACCACUCUGCAGAAAAUGUCCCUUUAGAGAUGGAAAUAAACCUCAUGUGGAGACAGUGGGAUAUAACCUGAAGACGGGAAUGAAGCGGUCAUUGGUGGAUGAAGAGAAAGGAUGAGAAAGGAUUGUGAGAAAUCCAGGUGGACCAAUGAAUUAAUUAGGAAGAAACUUUCAUGGGG
rnacentral:lncRNA from 1 species